rnacentral:rRNA from 1 species
UGGGGGAUAUUGCACAAUGGACGAAAGUCUGACGGAGCAACGCCGCGUGAGUGAAGACGGCCUUCGGGUUGUAAAGCUCUGUGAUCCGGGACGAAAGAGCCUGAGGUAAAUAGCCUAAGGAAGUGACGGUACCGGAAAAGCAAGCCACGGCUAACUACGUGCCAGCAGCCGCGGUAAUACGUAGGUGGCAAGCGUUGUCCGGAAUUAUUGGGCGUAAAGCGCGCGCAGGCGGCUUACUAAGUCCAUCUUAAAAGUGCGGGGCUUAACCCCGUGAUGGGAUGGAAACUGGAAAGCUGGAGUAUCGGAGAGGAAAGUGGAAUUCCUAGUGUAGCGGUGAAAUGCGUAGAGAUUAGGAAGAACACCGGUGGCGAAGGCGACUUUCUGGACGAAAACUGACGCUGAGGCGCGAAAGCGUGGGGAGCAAACAGG